rnacentral:rRNA from 1 species
UAGGCUGCAACUCGCCUACAUGAAGCUGGAAUUGCUAGUAAUCACAGGUCAGCAUACUGUGGUGAAUACGUUCCCGGGCCUUGUACACACCGCCCGUCACACCAUGAGAGUUGAGAAUACCCGAAGUCCAUGUCAAAGUGGCCGAAGGUAGGCUUGAUGAUUGGGGUGAAGUCGUAACAAGGUAGC